rnacentral:ncRNA from 21 species
CAUUGUGCACCUGCAGCAUAACUCCUAUCUUCAGUGGCAGUGAUUGGUUCUACCUCCUCCCAGAGCCAAUCGACAGUAAUAGGCGGCAUCCACCUCCUCCCGGAUGCCGCCUUUAUU